rnacentral:rRNA from 1 species
CAAUAGCGUAUAUUUAAGUUGUUGCAGUUAAAAAGCUCGUAGUUGGAUUUCGGUUAAGAGCGACCGGUCCGCCGUUUGGUGUGCACUGGUUGGUUUUAACUUCCUGUAGAGGACGUGCUCUGGGUUUAACGACCUGGACUCGGAGUCUACGUGGUUACUUUGAAAAAAUUAGAGUGUUCAAAGCGGGCUUAUGCUUGAAUAUUUCAGCAUGGAAUAACACUAUAGGACUCCUGUCCUAUUUCGUUGGUCUCGGGACGGGAGUAAUGAUUAAGAGGAACAGUUGGGGGCAUUCGUAUUUCAUUGUCAGAGGUGAAAUUCUUGGAUUUAUGAAAGACGAACUUCUGCGAAAGCAUUUGCCAAGGAUGUUUUCAUUAA